rnacentral:rRNA from 1 species
AGAGUUUGAUCAUGGCUCAGGACGAACGCUGGCGGCGUGCCUAAUACAUGCAAGUCGAGCGGGUUUACCCUUCGGGGUAAGCUAGCGGCGGACGGGUGAGUAACACGUAGGUAACCUGCCUUCAAGAUCGGGAUAACUAUCGGAAACGAUAGCUAAGACCGGAUAGCUGGUUUUCUCGCAUGAGAGAAUCAUGAAACGCGGAGCAAUCUGUGGCUUGAAGAUGGGCCUGCGGCGCAUUAGCUAGUUGGUGAGGUAACGGCUCACCAAGGCGACGAUGCGUAGCCGACCUGAGAGGGUGAACGGCCACACCGGGACUGAGACACGGCCCAGACUCCUACGGGAGGCAGCAGUAGGGAAUCUUCCGCAAUGGACGCAAGUCUGACGGAGCAACGCCGCGUGAGUGAUGAAGGUUUUCGGAUCGUAAAGCUCUGUUGCCCUAGACGAACAGCAUGAGGAGUAACUGCCUUGUGUGUGACGGUAUAGGAGAAGAAAGCCCCGGCUAACUACGUGCCAGCAGCCGCGGUAAUACGUAGGGGGCAAGCGUUGUCCGGAAUUAUUGGGCGUAAAGCGCGCGCAGGCGGUCAUUUAAGUCUGGUGUUUAAGCCCGGGGCUCAACCCCGGUUCGCAUCGGAAACUGGAUGACUUGAGUGUAGGAGAGGAAAGUGGAAUUCCACGUGUAGCGGUGAAAUGCGUAGAGAUGUGGAGGAACACCAGUGGCGAAGGCGACUUUCUGGCCUAUAACUGACGCUGAGGCGCGAAAGCGUGGGGAGCAAACAGGAUUAGAUACCCUAGUAGUCC